AUGUGAAGUAAAAUUUUAUUUUAAUGACACGCUAAUGUAAAAAUUAUUAUUUUUAUUUAUUUAUAAUUCAUUACAUGCAUAACCUACCUAACUAUAGCACAAAUUAAACUCAUGGUGGAAUCACAAUUCAUUUACAAUAUUUAAACAUAAAAGCACAAUAUGGUUCAUUCAAUUACUACAAUAAAUUAGUUGAUAUAUAAAGAAGGAAUUUAAAUGCAAAGAGGCAUCUUACGACAUCAUUAAGUAUCAUUAAGCAUAUUACAUCUAUAGGUGUAUUUAUCACAGAAAUUAUCUGCCUUUCUAUUGCAACUGCUCCAUGGCUCUAAGUGCAGACUCUUCAUCAAUGUCCGGAAUUAUGGAUUCAAACAUACUUUUUGGAAAAGCUACAUUUCCGAUCAUGACAACUUCAUUCGGAUCUAAUGAUGGUUCUAGGCCAUCAAUUACAUCAUUGUUUACAGAUGGCAUACUCAUAAGAGUUGGUGUUACAGUUGGUAUGCCACUCAUACUUAUUGAGGCAUUAUUGGCAUGCUGCUGUUGAACUACUACUUGAGCUGCAGCGGCAGCUGCGGCUGCUUCCAACUGUAAUUUUUGCAUUUGCAUCAUUAAACGAGCGUUCGCAUCCAAGUGCGAAUGUCUAGCCCUUAUAUGCUUGUCUCGAUCGCCGCGUUGACGAAAAUUCUUUGUACAAAACAGACAACCAAAUGGUUUUUCACCAGUAUGGAUUCGUUGGUGAUUCUUAAGCGCAUCUGCACGAUAAAAACGUUUACCACACUCUUCACAUUCAUAACGUCGCUCGCCCCGAUGUAUAAGACGAUGCUGGUAGAAAACGGAGCCAGUUAAGAAGCGUUUGCCGCACACCAAGCAAUGAUAAGGACGUUCACCAGUAUGACACUUGCGAAUGUGAUCAUUCAAGUCGGGACGAAUGGUAAAUUUACGUGUACAACCGGGUUCUUUGCAAGCAAAGGGCUUUACCCCUGUAAAAGUUUAGUACAAUAGUUUUUAAGAUAACAGUAAAUUCAUAGAUAUUUUAUAAUACGCUUACCUUGAUGAAAACGCAAAUGCUGCCAUAAGUGGCUGGAUUGGGUAUACGAUUUCCCGCACAUAUCACAUAGGUAUUGACGUGUUUUACUGGAUGAACCAGUUCCAUCUUUAUCGCGUUUGUACUUCUUAUAAUGCUUUUCUUCAUAAUGGGCCACACAUUCUUGCGCAAACUCAAAUACUACAUCGCAGUACUCACAAGGUAGCUGUAGUACACCAAGGCAUUUAUUCAAACGGGGAAAGAAAUGAUAAGCAGUGUAUCUGUAAAAAUAAAAAAGGGAUUGAAAUUUAUUCUCGCAAACAUUACAAACAAAGUAACGCUGUGUAGAAGCUUGAUGCACCUUAAGAUUCUCUCGCAUAAAUACACACUCAGCUUGCCAAUGCGCACAUAUUUCUUUAGACGUGCGCAUAUGAAUAUCGCAUGAAAAGCAUUCAAAACGUCGUUCAGGCAAAUGGCAAGCCGAAUGUACAAAUAAAUAGGAUACUUCUGAAAAAACGAAAUCACAAAAUUCACACUGUAAAAUGCAACUUAAAAUAACCAUUUUGAGGUAAACAGGUGGUUUAUCUCCAUGAACUGUUAGCGGCCCCGCGCAACUAUUGAAAUUCAUAGCAUCGUCUACAUAGGAUUCGUACGGAAUUUCAGCACAAUUAUCGAAUUCUUUUUCUUCCUGCAUACUUCCGGGAAAGUGAGAACAUAAAUGUUUGAACGCUGCAAAUGGCUCAAAGAAAACUCUUCCGCAUAGUGUACACUUAAUGACAACUCGCAGCCCAUUAACGCUCUGUAAGGAGCUACUUUGUGAUGAAGCCGUUUUACCACCUGACGAAGCGCCUGGUGUUGGUAUAAGAUCCAUUGCAUGUUUCUCCAUAUGCCGCAAAAGGCCUGAUGCAUGCACGAACUUACGUUCGCAUAGUGUACACUCAUGAGGACCAUCUUGCUUUUUGGUAGCAGUAUUCGAUAAAUUCGAGCCUGUCGAUGUAUUUGAUGUAUUACCUAAAGUACUACUCGAAUUACUUGUAUUGUUAUUUAUUGAUGCAUUAACGUCAUAUUUAAGUUCAUCUUUCAAGAAACGCCGAAUGCGUAUCUGAUUUUCGCGCAAUAACCGAAUGCAUGCCGGUUCCGGUGGCAAUAGAGGUUCUUCCUUGAUUGGUUUAUUAAUAGGUGUAGAUGCAGCUGGGGGGACGAUAAGAUUAUGAUGUUCAUCGUAAUCACAAAUGUGAGAUUGAAAAGAUAUGAUAUCAAAGAGGCAGUUGCAAUUGGAACACUUCACAAUUCGAUAAGCCGAUGAUGGAACAUCGGGCGGAAUAUAUAAUUUAGUAUCUGGAAUUGAGAGUUUUUAAAAAUUAUUAAUCAUUGUAUGUAUAUUUUCGUAGAUCUAUAUUAUUAGUUUUUAUAUUAUGCACACAUACCAAGCGGACUACUUUGAGGUUGUGUCUCCAGAAAUUUCAAUAGUUUCAAUUCUUCUUCUGUUGCAUCGAAUGACCCCGUUGUUUGCUUCACUGUUUCAUUAACCAUUACUGUUGGCUCGGGGAUUGGUGUGGCAAAUGGUGUUAAUGGCACUGUGCCCACCAAAUCCAAAAAAGCCGGCUCUGCGCCUCUACCAGUAAUAUUACUCAAAUCGAGUACAUCGUUUAUAUCGAAAGGAGGAAUGUUUGUUGUUGUUGGUAACUUGAAGACUGAUUCAUAAUUUUCCAGCCUUGAUUUUGUUAAAUCUUGCGGUUCCUCCUCUGUUAUGCAACUAAGACUUCCGGAAGGAAAUGUAAAUGUUGCCGAUGAAUCUAUAACGGACUUUUCUCUGUAAUCAGAAUUAAAUUCUUUUAAUUGUGCAAAAAGUUGUUCCGACAGCCAGGCGUCAGAAUUUGUGAAUUCCUCUUCACUUGUAUUCAUCAUAAUUAAUUUAUUUCAAAAUUGCAACUCAUUAAAAUAUAUUCGAUGUUUUAUCGGCUAAACGCUGUUUCUAGAUACGUAUAUUGUUUUUUCAAAAAAAAAAAGAAAGUAUGGCGUCUUGACAAAUUUAGCAAGCCUACUAUUUGUAUGUUACUCGAUAAAGUUUAUUUUGAGUGAACAAAUAUAUAAUAGUGUUAAUAAUUCAAAAUAAUGAGAAUGAAAAGUAUUUUGUGUGCACAUAAGUACGUAAUUGAAAGACUUUCAAUCGUUAUAAGUUUAAAUCAUUUAGAAAUACAUAACAAAAAUUAAAUUGUCCAUUCAACUGUUUAAUAAAAUCUGUGCACUACAUCAAAGUUUAGGUUCCUAAUAAAAUUAAUUGUAGUUAAAUAAAAUUACAAGUUACAACUAAUUUUUAUUUAUCAUUGCAAAAAAAUAUAUAGUUUUUGCUACAUAAAUUUUAAUAAAAAAAAUCAAACAAAUU
rnacentral:lncRNA from 1 species